rnacentral:rRNA from 1 species
GACGAACGCUGGCGGCGUGCUUAACACAUGCAAGUCGAACGGAAAGGCCCUGCUUUUGUGGGGUGCUCGAGUGGCGAACGGGUGAGUAACACGUGAGUAACCUGCCCUUGACUUUGGGAUAACUUCAGGAAACUGGGGCUAAUACCGGAUAGGAGCUCCUGCUGCAUGGUGGGGGUUGGAAAGUUUCGGCGGUUGGGGAUGGACUCGCGGCUUAUCAGCUUGUUGGUGGGGUAGUGGCUUACCAAGGCUUUGACGGGUAGCCGGCCUGAGAGGGUGACCGGCCACAUUGGGACUGAGAUACGGCCCAGACUCCUACGGGAGGCAGCAGUGGGGAAUAUUGCACAAUGGGCGGAAGCCUGAUGCAGCAACGCCGCGUGCGGGAUGACGGCCUUCGGGUUGUAAACCGCUUUCGCCUGUGACGAAGCGUGAGUGACGGUAAUGGGUAAAGAAGCACCGGCUAACUACGUGCCAGCAGCCGCGGUGAUACGUAGGGUGCGAGCGUUGUCCGGAUUUAUUGGGCGUAAAGGGCUCGUAGGUGGUUGAUCGCGUCGGAGGUGUAAUCUUGGGGCUUAACCCUGAGCGUGCUUUCGAUACGGGUUGACUUGAGGAAGGUAGGGGAGAAUGGAAUUCCUGGUGGAGCGGUGGAAUGCGCAGAUAUCAGGAGGAACACCAGUGGCGAAGGCGGUUCUCUGGGCCUUUCCUGACGCUGAGGAGCGAAAGCGUGGGGAGCGAACAGGCUUAGAUACCCUGGUAGUCCACGCUGUAAACGGUGGGUACUAGGUGUGGGGUCCAUUCCACGGGUUCCGUGCCGUAGCUAACGCUUUAAGUACCCCGCCUGGGGAGUACGGCCGCAAGGCUAAAACUCAAAGGAAUUGACGGGGCCCCGCACAAGCGGCGGAGCAUGCGGAUUAAUUCGAUGCAACGCGUAGAACCUUACCUGGGUUUGACAUGGAUCGGGAGCGCUCAGAGAUGGGUGUGCCUCUUUUGGGGUCGGUUCACAGGUGGUGCAUGGCUGUCGUCAGCUCGUGUCGUGAGACGUUGGGUUAAGUCCCGCAACGAGCGCAACCCUUGUUCACUGUUGCCAGCACGUUAUGGUGGGGACUCAGUGGAGACCGCCGGGGUCAACUCGGAGGAAGGUGGGGAUGACGUCAAGUCAUCAUGCCCCUUAUGUCCAGGGCUUCACGCAUGCUACAAUGGCUGGUACAGAGAGUGGCGAGCCUGUGAGGGUGAGCGAAUCUCGGAAAGCCGGUCUCAGUUCGGAUUGGGGUCUGCAACUCGACCUCAUGAAGUCGGAGUCGCUAGUAAUCGCAGAUCAGCAACGCUGCGGUGAAUACGUUCCCGGG